rnacentral:rRNA from 1 species
AACGAACGCUGGCGGCAGGCCUAACACAUGCAAGUCGAGCGAAGCCUUCGGGCUUAGCGGCGGACGGGUGAGUAACGCGUGGGAACGUGCCCUUUGCUACGGAAUAGCCCCGGGAAACUGGGAGUAAUACCGUAUGUGCCCUUCGGGGGAAAGAUUUAUCGGCAAAGGAUCGGCCCGCGUUGGAUUAGGUAGUUGGUGGGGUAGUGGCCUACCAAGCCGACGAUCCAUAGCUGGUUUGAGAGGAUGAUCAGCCACACUGGGACUGCGACACGGCCCAGACUCCUACGGGAGGCAGCAGUGGGGAAUCUUAGACAAUGGGGGAAACCCUGAUCUAGCCAUGCCGCGUGAUCGAUGAAGGCCUUAGGGUUGUAAAGAUCUUUCAGUGGGGAAGAUAAUGACUGUACCCACAGAAGAAGCCCCGGCUAACUCCGUGCCAGCCGCCGCCGUAA